rnacentral:rRNA from 1 species
GAUGAACGCUGGCGGCGUGCCUAAUACAUGCAAGUCGAGCGAACAGACGAGGAGCUUGCUCCUCUGACGUUAGCGGCGGACGGGUGAGUAACACGUGGAUAACCUACCUAUAAGACUGGGAUAACUUCGGGAAACCGGAGCUAAUACCGGAUAAUAUAUUGAACCGCAUGGUUCAAUAGUGAAAGACGGCUUUGCUGUCACUUAUAGAUGGAUCCGCGCCGCAUUAGCUAGUUGGUAAGGUAACGGCUUACCAAGGCAACGAUGCGUAGCCGACCUGAGAGGGUGAUCGGCCACACUGGAACUGAGACGCGGUCCAGACUCCUACGGGAGGCAGCAGUAGGGAAUCUUCCGCAAUGGGCGAAAGCCUGACGGAGCAACGCGGCGUGAGUGAUGAAGGUCUUCGGAUCGUAAAUCUCUGUUAUUAGGGAAGAACAAAUGUGUAAGUAACUAUGCACGUCUUGACGGUACCUAAUCAGAAAGCCACGGCUAACUACGUG